rnacentral:rRNA from 1 species
UACGUAGGGUGCAGGCGUUAAUCGGAAUUACUGGGCGUAAAGCGUGCGCAGGCGGCUCCUUAAGUCAGAUGUGAAAGCCCCGGGCUUAACCUGGGAACUGCGUUUGAAACUGGGGAGCUAGAGUGUAGAAGAGGGGGGUGGAAUUCCAGGUGUAGCAGUGAAAUGCGUAGAGAUCGGAAAGAACACCAACGGCGAAAGCACUCUGCUGGGCCGACACUGACACUGAGAGACGAAAGCUAGGGGAGCAAAUGGG